rnacentral:rRNA from 1 species
UACGUAGGGGGCCAGCGUUGUCCGGAAUCAUUGGGCGUAAAGAGCUCGUAGGUGGUUCGGUAAGUCGGAUGUGAAAUCUCCAGGCUCAACCUGGAGGGGUCAUUCGAUACUGCCGUGACUAGAGUUCGGUAGAGGAGUGUGGAAUUCCUGGUGGAGCGGUGAAAUGCGCAGAGAUCAGGAGGAACACCCGUAGCGAAGGCGGCACUCUGGGCCGAUACUGACACUGAGGAGCGAAAGCGUGGGGAGCGAACAGG